CUAACAUGUCACAGGCGGAAGCGCGCCGGGCUCAUAACCCGGAGGGCAACAGAUCGAAACUGUUCCGAGCUAGA
rnacentral:tRNA from 1 species